rnacentral:tRNA from 3 species
GGGGAUAUGGCGAAAUGGCAGACGCAGCGGACUCAAAAUCCGUUGGUUUCGACCGUGAGGGUUCGAAUCCCUCUAUCCCCA